rnacentral:tRNA from 1 species
UGGCUCAGUGGAUAGAGCGUUGGCCUGUGGACUGAAAGAUCCCAGGUUCAAUUCCUGG